CCUACGGGGGGCUGCAGUGGGGAAUAUUGGACAAUGGGGGCAACCCUGAUCCAGCCAUGCCGCGUGUGUGAAGAAGGCCCUCGGGUUGUAAAGCACUUUCAGUGAGGAAGAACGCCUGGUGGUUAAUACCCAUCAGGAAAGACAUCACUCACAGAAGAAGCACCGGCUAACUCCGUGCCAGCAGCCGCGGUAAUACGGAGGGUGCGAGCGUUAAUCGGAAUUACUGGGCGUAAAGCGCGCGUAGGUGGCUUGAUAAGCCGGUUGUGAAAGCCCCGGGCUCAACCUGGGAACGGCAUCCGGAACUGUCAAGCUAGAGUGCAGGAGAGGCAGUUAGAAUUCCCGGUGUAGCGGUGAAAUGCGUAGAGAUCGGGAGGAAUACCAGUGGCGAAGGCGGCCUUCUGGACUGAAACUGACACUGAGGUGCGAAAGCGUGGGUAGCAAACAGGAUUAGAUACCCUAGUAGUC
rnacentral:rRNA from 1 species